rnacentral:rRNA from 1 species
UACGUAGGGUGCAAGCGUUGUCCGGAAUUAUUGGGCGUAAAGAGCUCGUAGGCGGCUUGUCGCGUCGGCUGUGAAAACCUGGGGCUCAACCCCGGGCCUGCAGCCGAUACGGGCAGACUAGAGGUAUGCAGGGGAGAACGGAAUUCCUGGUGUAGCGGUGAAAUGCGCAGAUAUCAGGAGGAACACCGGUGGCGAAGGCGGUUCUCUGGGCAUUACCUGACGCUGAGGAGCGAAAGUGUGGGGAGCGAACAGG